rnacentral:rRNA from 1 species
AACGAACGCUGGCGGCAUGCCUAACACAUGCAAGUCGAACGAAACCUUCGGGUCUAGUGGCGCACGGGUGCGUAACGCGGGGGAAUCUGCCCUUCGGUUGGGUAUAACUGAGAGAAAUUUCAGCUAAUACCUUAUAAUGUCUUCGGACCAAAGAUUUAUCGCCGAGGGAUGAGCCCGCGUAGGAUUAGGUAGUUGGUGGGGUAAUGGCCUACCAAGCCGAGGAUCCUUAGCUGGUCUGAGAGGAUGAUCAGCGACACUGGGACUGAGACACGGCCCAGACUGCUACGGGAGGGAGCAAUGGGGAAUAAUGGACAAUGGGCGAAAGCCUGAUCCAGCAAUGCCGGGUGAGUGAUGAAGGCUUUAGGGUUGUAAAGCUCUUUUACCCGGGAUGAUAGUGACGGUACCUGGAGAAUAAGCACCGGCUAACUACGUG